rnacentral:rRNA from 1 species
AGUGAACGCUGGCGGUAGGCCUAACACAUGCAAGUCGAACGGCAGCACAGUAAGAGCUUGCUCUUACGGGUGGCGAGUGGCGGACGGGUGAGGAAUACAUCGGAAUCUACUUUUUCGUGGGGGAUAACGUAGGGAAACUUACGCUAAUACCGCAUACGACCUACGGGUGAAAGCAGGGGAUCUACGGACCUUGCGCGAUUGAAUGAGCCGAUGUCGGAUUAGCUAGUUGGCGGGGUAAAGGCCCACCAAGGCGACGAUCCGUAGCUGGUCUGAGAGGAUGAUCAGCCACACUGGAACUGAGACACGGUCCAGACUCCUACGGGAGGCAGAAGUGGGGAAUAUUGGACAAUGGGCGCAAGCCUGAUCCAGCCAUACCGCGUGGGUGAAGAAGGCCUUCGGGUUGUAAAGCCCUUUUGUUGGGAAAGAAAAGCAGCAGGUUAAUACCCCGCUGUUCUGACGGUACCCAAAGAAUAAGCACCGGCUAACUUCGUG